CAUGGAAUACUAGUAUUGCCAUUAUUACCCUUCUCAUUCCAAAAUAACGUGGAGGAAGAAGAAAGAAAAACAAACCACACACUUCAUUCUGGCCACACAAAAUAAUAAAACCAGAUCCCCCCCCCCCCCCCCCCACCCAUCCAGCACUCCCCCCCCCCCCCCAAAAAGCACUCAGAUACAGAGAAGAAAAUUCAAGAUGACGAUGACGACCCCAUAACUUUACUGAUACAACAAUUUACAAUUUUUGCCAUUGGCACUGACUGGAACUCAAUGGAUGGAUGGAUUGAGGAAAGGUUUUAGUUGUUGGCUGAGCUCCUGAAGGACCCAAGUGCCUUGAUAGCACCAGCUCUGAGUAUAUACUGGUGGUAUAUUGCUGCAAUUGCUGCUCCAAUGAAUGGUCCGACCCAGAACAUCCACUGAUCAUCCCAUGCCUUGUCUUGGUUGUAGAUCACAGCUGCUCCGAAGCUCCUUGCCGGGUUGAUCCCUGUUCCGGUCACCGGGAUCGUAGCCAGGUGAACCAUGAACACCGCGAACCCAAUUGGAAGUGGUGCCAACACCUAUUCAUUCAUUAACCCACCAAAUUAGCAAUCAAACCCAAAAUCAAGUGCGGCAAUCACUCAAUUACAACCUAUUUUAUUCUAAUAAUAUUUACUUACAGGGACAUGGGAGUCUCUGGCGUUUCUCUUGGGGUCAGUGGCAGAGAAAACAGUGUAGACAAGUACGAAAGUGCCGAUGAUUUCAGCACCCAAUCCAGUUCCCUUGUUGUAUCCUGCACUGAGCUCAUUGGCUCCACCGCCGUAUCUUGUGUAGUAAGACUUCUGGAAAGCCUUGACUAGCCCACACCCACAAAUGGCUCCAAGGCACUGAGCCACCAUGUACAAGACGGCUCGGACUAAAGACACCUUCCUGGCCAGAAAAAGCCCGAACGUCACCCGCCGGGUUGAUGUGGCCGCCGGAGAUUCCGGCGGUACAGUAGACGAGGACGAAGAUCAUUCCGCCGAAGGCCCAGGCGAUUCCCAGAAUGCCGACGCCGCCGCAAGGGUCGACGGAGGGCUUGUUGGGAUCGACCUGGGAUUUGUAGCCGAUGACUGUCAAGACGGUGAUGUAAAGGAAGAGGAGAGUGGCGAUGAACUCGGCGAUGACUGCUCUGUAGAGUGACCAUUGGGUUAGCUCCUCUGCGUCGAUGAGUGGGGCAGGGGGUGGGUCUUGGUAGUCCUUGGUUUGGAAUUCGGGUGCUUGCCCUUCUACGUCCUUCGCCAUUCUUGUUGAAGAGAUUAGAGAGAAAUUGGGGGAGAUGAAGAAGCUCUGUUCUGUUGUGUUGUUUGAGUGCGGAAUUGAAGUGUAAAGGGCUGUGGUAUUUAUGGAGUUGGAGGAUCUUACUCAGCUCAUCUUCUACGUGCAAUUCAUCUCCGUUUUUUAAAGCGGUCUUAUCUUUAUAUCAUUUUAAUUUAUAAUUUUUCAUAUUUUAUUAUCAUACCACAUUCAUUCAUAUAAUUUAAAAACUAGUUACAAAAGUAAAACCCAAAUGCACUAUAAUUUUAUAUCUCUAUUAUUUUAAAAACAACAACCAAUUAAUAAAAAUGAUUUUAAUUAUCAUAUAGACAUAUAUUAGAUUUAUAAUUAAUAAUAUUAAAGCUAAAUUUUUAUUAGUAAUAAUAUUAAUUAUUUCAUUAAAAUACGAUUACACAAUACAAAUUUGAUAAAAGUAAUUAAUUAUUUAAUUAAGACGAUUACACAAAGCUCAAAUUUGAAACUUAAUAGUUGAUUAAUUAUCUUCCGCAUCAUCUCCAAAUGAACUCCAUAUCACAUCUAUAAAAUGGUGCGAAACCAUUGGCAUCGAUACACUGAAAUUGACUUGAUCAAACGUUGAACUUUUGACGAUCUGUGUUUUUUGUCUUACAUGUAGCUUCAUUGUGUAAUUUAAAUUAAAUGUCGAAAGUUGUUGUAUGUGUUUCAAUAUAUGAGUGGAGUANNNNNNNNNNNNNNNNNNNNNNNNNNNNNNNNNNNNNNNNNNNNNNNNNNNNNNNNNNNNNNNNNNNNNNNNNNNNNNNNUUUUUUUGACUUGUUCAAUGUGUGGUAAUUAUGAUAUAUGUGAAUUUUUAAUUUGCACUUUGAUUUAUUAUGGUUAAUAAUGGAUGAGACCAACCUGAACGAUCAUCGAUUUUAAUUAGAACGUAACCGAUUAAUUAUGAGUUAAUAUAAUAUUAUAAUUAUUAUAGACAAUAUAUGACAUUUGGCAUGUGGGUCUUUUUACAAUUGCUUUAUGCAAUUGCCAGAUAUGCAAAUUUAUAAAUAAAACAUACUCUCCCAUCCAUACAAUUACUAUUUUUAUUUGCAAAAAAUGUCACAUAGAUAUCACAUAAAAUCCAACUCAUUUUACAAACCUCCCUAUUGGUAUGAAUGGGAAUGACCUUAGUUCUUGGUAGUAUACUUAUGAUAUAAUUUUUAUAUUUAAAUUCUGUUUUUAUUUUUGUGUAUAUGUACAACAUUGUCAAUUAUUUUGGGUUUUUUUAUUUCCGGAGAAAUGGUACUUUGCCCCAUCUAUUUUUUCAAGUUAACAAACUAGUCCCUAUAUUAUGAAAUGCUCAAAUUACUCCUUCAUACUUAACCCAAGUUGAUAAUCAAAUCCUUAUGUUAACAAUUUCGUCAAUUUGUCGUCAAAUAGUGUGAGUCGGCAUCACACAUCGGAUUUGGAUGCCACAUGGCUGCAAAUCAAGACUUAUUGACGACUCGAACGUGCUACAAAUUGGGAAAAUCAAUGAUAAGAGAGUCGGCUAAUUAUUCAUUUUUGUCUUCUGGAUCUAAACAUGGAAAGCUGAUGAUUUGAUGUUGGUGGGAGAUUUCAGGCAUGGCAGUGAUAGAGUGUGAGGUUGAACAAAUUUAUAUUAUUCUCAUUGUUGUUAAUAAUGACAAUUGAUAGAAAGAAAGAGGAAUGAAAUAUAAAUGAUUUGAUUGGGCAAUUAAAAGAUGUUUUUCGUUGGCGAUUGGGGUUUGGGAAAUGAAUAUUCAUUCGGAAUGAAGAUAUAUUUAAAGUGAAAUUUAUAGAAAAAUUGCAUAAUAUUAAAAAACUAAUGGUUGGGAGUCAGUGACGUGGCAUCUAUAUAUGAUGUGUUGCGUGAUCUUUAACCAACGAAAUUACUAACAUAAAUGUUUGAUUAUCAAGUUGGAUUAAGUUAAAAAAGGGAUAAUUUGAGCAUUUCAUAAUACAAGAGUUUAUUUGUUAAUUUGGCAAAGUAGAAGGGGUGAAGUAUAAUUUUCUCUUGAUUUUAUUAAAGCUUUUUACAUUUGCCGUUUCCUUUUGUCUUUUAUGUUCUGUUCUGUGGCUGCCAGUGAUUGGAUGGGUUGGAGCAAUUUCUGGAACGUUGUGUUUCACUUUUUUGAUGUAUUUAUUUAUAUGCUUUGAUAAUGGCUUUGGGUCAUUUGGGUGGGUAGGGUACCGUGGUCCACAGCUGAGAUGAAGUUUCUCGUCUUUUCUGGGGAAGAGUUUAGAAACAUCAUCUCUCUAAUUCCAUCCUCUGUUGAUACAAAUUUCAUACGGCUUAAAACUCAAAAGCAUUUGCGUUUCAAGUUUCAGAUAGGUCAUUAUUUCCAUCAUUCGAAAUUUGUUUUAUUCAAUUCUGUUAGUAAAUUACUUAAUAUAUCAUCCAUUUCUAUAAUAUUUUUCAUCUAAUUAAAGGAGUCUAGAUUGAUUGAUAAUGUCAUCUAAAUUAUAAAUUUUUUAAUUUACACCUUAAUUAAAAUUGAGCCCCAUCACUUACCUAAUAGAAAAUGCAAACCCGAGUGAUUCUAACCUAAAUCCAAAAACAAACCAAAACCUUAACCACUCUGAUCUCGUCCGUUGCAAAGAGGGGUAAAUUCCCAUCUUUACUCCUGAAAAUCACAGCCGUGAAAUUUAGGUUAAUAAUUGCAACGGACGAGACUUUGUCUUAGGUGUUAGCUCCUUGAAUCUUUUUGAUUUAAGAGUUAAUUACCUGAGUGCGUUGUUUGGUAAGGUCCUAGCUACAAUUGUUUUUGUGAAUUAUUCCCGUUGGCCGUCACCACCACCGUCCAUCCAUCUCAGUCCAACGUCGUCACUGUCCUGGUUUAUUGUUCCACCCUCAACCACUCCUUCCCUGCCACCUGUCAUUGUCCCCACCGUGAGACGCCGCCACCGCCCACUUCAAUUAUUUCCAGCCUAACAACGUCGACUUUUUCGUUUUCUUAUAUUAUUAUAUUAUCUAUUCAGCCAGCCACUGGAAUCUUAAUCACUAGCUAAGCUAACUCUGGGCUGAUAAACAAGUUAUAAAACAAUAACCUAAAACACAACACAUAAACAUAAGUAUUAGUUCUCGUUCGUGGCUGUAAUUAGGACACAUGGCGUUCAGUCUAUUAUAAAAGGUAAUCAUGGUCUUUUGGGAGGUGGAGGUAUUUUGGUCGGCUUGUAGGUGCCCACUUCCGCUCUACACUACUAUUCUAUUCUUCAUGUGCUCUUUUUUCUUCCUACAUGCCAUUAACGUUCUAGUGGAAAUCAAUGACAACUGGAGUUCAAUCACACACCGCCCGCUAUAAGACUAAACCGGAAUGAUAGGAUCUGGUAAUCGGUUAUGGACAUUUUGCGGGAAAUCGGUUCAUCGCAGCAGAAAUACGAAAAACAUUUAACAUCUUUGAUAUGCAUAUUUUAUGAAACUUGAUCUGUAGCUAAUGAGACCUCCAUGCAUAGCUUCUCUAGCUACUUAAUUCAAACUUAGGGUCGUGGACGGUCGUCUCAAGCCUCCGAAAUAGAUAGAUCCAGAAAAUAAUUUGGCUCAAAAUUGAUAUUCUAAUUAUUUUUCAUGAACUAUGUUUGAAAAGUUAUGACAAGUUACGUGAAGGUGAAAGUAUAACUUAUUUCCAUUGUGUUCUCUGUUGGUGGGUGAUUAUGUAUAUAUCAACACACCUCCUUUGCUUACUUCACUAAAUUUCACUCUUCUUUUACUUUACCAAGUUAAGAAACUGGCUCUUGUAGAAUAAAUGGCUCUUUCCCCCCUCCUACUUUGACCACUUUGUCAAUCGACCCCCUCCAUUGAAUUUUUCGUCCAGUUGUCUUUACUUGAAGCCAAAUCAGCAAGCCAUGUCAUCAACUGAGGCCACCUGGUAUGUUGACAAUGCCGAUUUCCAGAGUUCGCCAAUGCACGGAUGCGGCCAAGUCAUCAACUGAGUUCGCCGAUGCACCGUUGCAGAAAACAUAUUCCCCUGUAUUCUCCAUGAAGAACAAACUCUGCAAUACAGCAAUAGUUGAAACCUCUGGCCAAUGCAAUAUUUUGUAAUGUCUCAGGCAAUAUAGAAGAGAGCAAAAUAUCGGUCAACAAAAGACACCAACGGGAGGAAGAGAUCGAGGAAGGCAACAAUUGAUGAUGUGGCUUGUUGAUUUGGAAAACUAUAAAGAAUCAUAGUCAACUUGCCAUGUGGCCUCAGUUGAUGACGUGGUUUGCCGAUUUGGCUUCAAGUAACGAUAACUGGACGGAAAUCUUAACAGAAGGGGUUUGAUUGAUAAGAUGGUCAAAGUAGGAGAGGAGAAAAAAAUACAUUUCAUAGUAUAAGGACCUGUUUGUUAACUUGAUAAAGUAAAAGGGACAACAUACGAUCAUCCCAAAAUAGUCUUCAGAAAUUUGUGACUGAAAGUCUGAAACUUAAAAUCCUCAUUAAAAGAUUGAUGUCAUUAUAAGCAGGAACUGUAAUUUCGCUUUUACAGACAGUUUCCCCAUUUUCGUUAAAUGCAACAAAGGAAAGAACUGUUGUUAUUGAGGAUUGCAUUGCCGUUACAAUAAAAUAACAUAUUGUUUUUUUUUUUACUUUGAUCGGAAACUAAACUCCGCCACUACCAAAUACCAUUUUCCAUGUCGUUCAAGCCAAAUACGAAUGACUUGAACGACCAACGAUGGAUAAUCAACAUUCGAGGAUCCCUCGAAGAACACGACAACUUAGCUAAAACCAACCACCUUGAUGUUGAAGAAGAAGAAGAAGAAGAACUCCCUGCUCGAAUAUUCAACGUCCCAAAAUCCCUUGUAGAAUCACACCCUUACUCCUACACCCCUCAACAAGUUGCCAUCGGCCCUUACCAUCACCAUCGUCCCGAGCUCCAUGAUGCCUCCCGUCACAAGCAUUCGUCCGCCAAGAGGCUGCAAAAACGAUUACAGCCUCCUGUCAAGUAUUGUGACAUGGUGGACCAACUCACCAGUUUGGUCCCCAAGAUUCGAGAUUAUUACCACAAGUACCUUGAUUUUAGCGACGAGACCUUAGCAUGGAUGAUGUCCAUUGAUGGGUCAUUGCUCCUUGAGCUCCUUGGGGCGACCUUAGCAACCGCGGGUUCGAAGAACAAUGUCAUGGUGAGGGACGUUGUGAUGCUCGAGAAUCAGAUUCCGAUGAUUGUGUUGAGCAAGAUUUCGGAGGUUCAGUUUCGGUCCAAGGAGAUUGGUGAUGAUCAUCUUAAGAAAAUGUUGGUUGGAUUUUGGAAGGAGGUUUCGCCUUUUAUGAUGAUGGAUGAUUUUGUAGGAGCUGAUCAAAUCUUGCACACUGCUCAUCUUCUUGAUUAUUUGUACGCAACGAUUGUUCUUGAUGAGGUAGUCAAGGAAGCACCAACAAGUACAGAUAAAAUAACAUCAUCAACAGAAUUCGACGGCGGUGAAAGUUCAUCAAGCGGAGGUCUCCAUCUCAUUACCACUAACAGCAUUAGCAAUAAGCUUACCUCCAAGCUAAACAAAGACAUUUUGAAGAGACUUGUGCAGUCAAAGCCAGUUAAACUCUUCCUCAGAUUACCAUUCACAAUUCUCUCCACAGUGUUACCGGGUUUCGCGAUUCUUAAACACCCAAUUGAGCAUUUCCUCUUCGCAUCACCAACCCACAAUAAACAAGAUCCCUCCAUGUCGAACAAAUUUAACGAACUAGAUCGACCUCCUUUACUAGAGGAGAUCGCCAUCCCAUCAGUUGUUGAGCUAGUAAGCUCAGGUAAUACCUUCUCUAAAAAAAACUAGUUAUAUUAUUCUUAUAAUACGGCGUAUUUUUUAAAAUUUCACCAUCCUAGAUACUCCCCUGUGACAGGUAUCCGAAUUGUGCCAACCACUGAGAGCAACAACAUAUUGAGCAUUACCUUCGACGCCAAGGCAUCAGAGCUGCAUCUGCCGAUAGUCAGACUGGAUAUGAACACUGAGGUGGUGUUACGAAACUUGGUUGCGUACGAGGCCUCCAUUGCAGAAGGCCGAGCACUCGUGCUCGCACGUUACACGGAGCUAAUGAACGGGAUAGUGGACACGGGGGAGGAUGUGAAGCUGUUGAGGGAGAGAGGUGUGGUGUUGAACCACUUGAAGAGCGACGAUGAAGCAGCAGAUUUCUGGAAUGGAAUGAGCAAGUCUGCGAGGCUUACAAAAGUUGGGUUUCUUGAUGAUGUGAUUAGAGAGGUGAAUGUGUACUAUAAUAGCCGGUGGAAGGUGAGGAUUGGGAAAUUCUUGAGAAAUUAUGUGUUUGCUUCCUGGCAGUCGUUGACGCUAUUCGCAGUUGUUUUGAUCUUGGUGUUGAUGGUAUUCCAAGUAUUCUGCUCGCUUUAUAAUUGGUAUCGUAUUCUUAGUACAGGAAGGGCUGUAAGGAGGAUGGCUAUGUAGACAGUUGUGAACAAUGGAAAUAGCAGAAUAUAAAAAUUAAAAUAAGACAGUUAGAUUUUGUUUCGUCACAUGUAUUGCAGAUGCUUCAGAUCAGUAAUUUUGCAGUUUAGCUCCCAGAAAUUGUUAUUUCAUGAUGUGGCGAACACGAUUGGACAUGAAAGAUGUCGACGAGCUGCAGAUGAAAAUGAUCGAGCAACCAACACUAUGGCUCAUCAUUUGAUAAUCAAUUUGGCUCCACACCGGCCUUUGUUAAGCUGUAAAAAAAGGAAAACAGACGGAGAAGAGCUCUCCAUUACUCCAUCAAGGAGUCAUCGACCUCAUCUUCUUUCUCUUCCGGAAUGGAGCAAAAGCAACAGAAGAGGAAGAAGGAGGAGGAUACUUGAGUACCGCACAAACCAAAAGUGAUGCCCCUUUGGGAACUCCGAUAAAAUUGGAACAAAUCAAAAGUGACGGUGCAACCUCUCUCGACGUAUUCAACAUUUACCCACUCACCUUCGCAAUUCUGGUAUUUGUUUAUAAAAAAGAGAGACCCAGAAGCUCAAACUUAAAAUGAGUCUGAUGAUCCUGAAACCCAAAGGUGAUUGAUUGGUCAAGAGGAUUUGGGGUGGUAGAGGAAUGAUAAGAGAAUCCCCGAGUUUUUAUAUCGGAGUAACGAAGUACCCAACACGCUAAGCAAAAUGGCAGGACAUUGUAACCGAUGAGCGCACAUUGAACACGUAACAAAAUGUGGAAAUGGUGGGACUGGAACAACAAGUUUGAGGUUCUUGGAAGGUAACCAAUAUCUUCCAUUUUAUACAUAACAAGGCAGCAGUGAGUUUAGACAACCAUUGAUGGCGGACUUGAACUAGACCAGAGAGAUUUUCCUUAGAAUACAAGAGAUUGACAAUGACGAAAGAGCUGAGCUAAAAGUCCAAGCCGCGAUUUUAUGUAAAAACCAUUGCUUUACAUCAAGAACAAUGUCUUAACAGCUUUUUCGUUACAUUAUGUAACAUUAUAUAAUGUACGAGCUCUCACAACACCAUUCAAGUUCUAACCCACUACUACUUCAAGCAACAAAAUGAAGAUUAAACCCCACCCCGGAAACAUAUUUAAGAAGACUUCCGAACUCGCUUAAAAGAAAUAUAUCUCAUCAUGGAAGCAUCCAUAGCAAAAAUACUCGGAGAGAAACGCAAGCAGCAACAUCAAUUGACGGAUCAUAUUACUCUUAAGAACACAAGUCUGCAUUCAUGCUCCAAACUACAUAGACUGCAAUACCUCAUAAAAACACCAUCACAACGGUGAACACUAUCUAAAACGGAAACUUAAAUUAGAGGUGGAUGCUAAUCUAUAAGCCAGAAUAAGAAUGCAUAUGAAACCUGAUAGCAAUCUUACUAUACUUGCCUUUCAAAACCUACAACAAUACACUGUCACUAUAAUAAGUCGUAUGGCCAUAUUGCACCAGAUAAUUUCAUAACACCUAAAGACAUCCAAAACUCUGGACUAAUGAAUAGCAGAGACACAAUUCUUUGGUGUUAAGAAAUGAAACACCAACUUAAUAUCCAAAAUAAACACAAACACUAUUGUUAUACAAAUCCGACACAAGCAUUUCACCGUUGAAGUUGUGGUGCAACCAUCAGACAAAGCCAAACGCCUUACAGAAGACAUAAUUCAUUUCAUGUUGAAAUGACUGAAAGAGCUUAAGACAACACAAUCAAAAUUGUAGACACAAAUAGCUUUAUAUAGAUAGAUGUAAAAUGCAAUCAAGACUCCAAUGGCGGAGAAACCUAACAGCAAUCUACUUGGAAGAAAAAACCUACACUAAGAGUAAUCCUAUCAGGGUUCUAAAGCUAAUUGGCAAGCAGAUUACUUCCUAUUAUAGAUACUACCUUACCAUAUUAUUAUACCCUAACCAAGAAACGACAGUCUCUGACUAACUUGGAAAUUAGAGAAAGAAUCCUGCCUGAUAAUGAAGAGAUGCAAAACGAGCUCAAAAGAGAUAAACAACCCAAUACCAAAAUCAACCCAUACAUCGGCAAAUGGAAUAAUAAAGCCAGCUACUACUACUCUUUCAUCCGAUGUUCAGAAAUCCAGGAGAUUCAACUACAAAUUUAACUUCUUUCAAAAUCCAAAACUGAAAGUAGCAGCAUUCAAGCAGCAGACAAGAAAAAACCACAACCAUUUUCCACCUCUUUAACUAAAUUACUCAGAGGGAAUCUCAACAUCACCGUCGUUAAUCUCUUCCUGGAGGUCCUUGGGGUCCUUGCCGUCAACAGUACACCCAACAGAGACGCAAGUGCCCAAGAUCUCCUUGACGGUCCCGCUCAACUCCUUGGCCAUCGAUCGAGGCUUCAUCACCUUAGCAAUCUCGAUGACAUCAUCCAGGGAGAUGUUGCCGUUAUGUUUGAUGUUCUUCGUCUUCUUCCUAUCACGCUCGGGCUCCUUCAGGGCCUUGAUGACAAGAGCAGCAGCGGAAGGGACCACCGUGCCCCUGGCGUGGCCUGACGGUUCUGGACGGUGAGCUUGACGGUGACGCGGAGUCCCUUCCAGUCCUUGCUGGUCUCCUUUGCGAUGUCCUCACCGAUCUUCUUCGGGGAGAGACCCAAUGGACCGAUCUUGGGGGCGAGAGAGGACGCUGCUCCCACCUCUCCACCGGUCACUCGGACGAAGACAUCGACGACCUGCGACGGAUCGAACUUGGGCGGCAUGGCUGCGGUGAUUGAAGGAGAGGUUUUAGGGUUUGUGGAUAGUGAAGCUGCGCAGCUAUAAGAUGGUUAAAGAGAUUAAAUUAGGGGGGGGGGGGGGGCGGGGUACAUAGGGUUUUUUUGGGUGGGUUUUGGCGAUGUAUCUAGGGUUUUUUAGAGUGGACUCUGCAUUGCUUAAUUGGUAAAAUGGGCUUUUUAUGGGCCUAAGACUUUUGCGUUUGCGGCCCGUACAAGCAGACAACUUGGGCUCGUCAAUUCGGUGAUUCAGGAUAACAAAAUGGCGUAUUAGUUUCGAAGCUUAAGUGCAACUCCACAAAUUUGGAUAGUUAAAAGUGGAAUUGGAGGUUAUAUUUUCACUCACCAAUAACCAGAAGUUAGAGUUAUAUGUGCUAAUUAAGGUAUAAUGUUUCAACGUUGUUGACUUUGAUUAUUUGAAUGUCAAUCAUUUUUUUUCUACAUUAAAUACUAGUUUUUUUGUUGCUAAUAUAAUUUAACAUAAAAAUUUGUUGCUCGUCUGUUGGUAGUAUGACUAGUCAUAUGAUUAAAAAUAAAAAAAUGGUAUAUUUUUAUUUUUAUAUGUUGAUUCUAUUAUUAUAUAUGACGGAGACUACGUAUAUAUGUGUACAUGGUAAACUUUAUCACAUUUUUGCUAUAUAUUAUGCUUACAACUAUAAGAGUUUUGAGAUUAUUGUUUAGUGUUUAGGGUUUAUGACAUAAUGAUAAGUGUUUAGAGUCUAAUUAUGGUUAAUUUAGAUUUAUGAUCAAAAGUCAUAGUUUGGAGUACAAUUAAGAAUCUGNNNNNNNNNNNNNNNNNNNNNNNNNNNNNNNNNNNNNNNNNNNNNNNNNNNNNNNNNNNNNNNNNNNNNNNNNNNNNNNNNNNNNNNNNNNNNNNNNNNNNNNNNNNNNNNNNNNNNNNNNNNNNNNNNNNNNNNNNNNNNNNNNNNNNNNNNNNNNNNNNNNNNNNNNNNNNNNNNNNNNNNNNNNNNNNNNNNNNNNNNNNNNNNNNNNNNNNNNNNNNNNNNNNNNNNNNNNNNNNNNNNNNNNNNNNNNNNNNNNNNNNNNNNNNNNNNNNNNNNNNNNNNNNNNNNNNNNNNNNNNNNNNNNNNNNNNNNNNNNNNNNNNNNNNNNNNNNNNNNNNNNNNNNNNNNNNNNNNNNNNNNNNNNNNNNNNNNNNNNNNNNNNNNNNNNNNNNNNNNNNNNNNNNNNNNNNNNNNNNNNNNNNNNNNNNNNNNNNNNNNNNNNNNNNNNNNNNNNNNNNNNNNNNNNNNNNNNNNNNNNNNNNNNNNNNNNNNNNNNNNNNNNNNNNNNNNNNNNNNNNNNNNNNNNNNNNNNNNNNNNNNNNNNNNNNNNNNNNNNNNNNNNNNNNNNNNNNNNNNNNNNNNNNNNNNNNNNNNNNNNNNNNNNNNNNNNNNNNNNNNNNNNNNNNNNNNNNNNNNNNNNNNNNNNNNNNNNNNNNNNNNNNNNNNNNNNNNNNNNNNNNNNNNNNNNNNNNNNNNNNNNNNNNNNNNNNNNNNNNNNNNNACCAUUUAAUUGAAUAUAAAAAAGGAUCAAUUGAAUGGAAUGGGAUAUAUUUUGUUAUUAACGGGCAGAGAAAUAUUUUGAAAGGAUAAAAAAAAGGAAGUUAAGUGGUUUCCUACAAUUAAGGUGGAUAUGAAAAAUGGGCAAAAAAGUUGGUAUGGCGCAGUAAAAAAAUGCUUAUUAUAUGGUUAGAUUUCAUAUCAAAUUCACUGCGAAGCUACGUCUUUAAUUUGGCAAAUUCCAAUUUGUUAUUCACAACAAUCAAUAUAAAUUAUCAAAUAGAUAACAGUCUUCAAAUAAACACAACUAUCAUAAUCAGAUGUCUUGAAGUCUUGAGAGAUCAUCAAGGAAUCAAACCUCGUUUACCGUUGUCUAGAAUAUUAUUUCAAACCAUAAAGAGAUUUCUUCAAAUUUACAAAUAAAUAUUAUCUUCCGAAUCACCAUAUAAAAAUGCAAUUUUAAAAUUAGCUUACAUCAGUAAAAUCAAUACCUAGAAUUUGACUCCAUUUUUGCAGUAAGCCCUCAUCCCGCAAUAAGUGAGAUAGCUUUUAAAAUAUUAGAAUAGGAUGCUAGUUUAACUCCACUUUUAAUUUCCUUAGCUACAAUGCAUAUGCAACAAUAUUCUCUUCUUCUAUCAAACGUUUAGGAGGACGGUUUCCUAUCUAGGCCUGUCAGCUGGAGGAUCAUCAACAACUUCAGUUUUUGUUUAUGACCAAAAUCAAUAGACUACUCUAUAUGCACAGUACUUGAUUUAUGCUCAAUCUCAAUUCGAAUAUUAGUAGACUUUUUGUCAUGCAACAUGGAAUUUUCAUUACACUUAACAUUCCCACUAAUCACUACCUUGCUUAUGGAUUCCACAAUUUAUAGCCUUUAGAUCUAGAUUUAUAACUAAGAAAUAUGCACUUAAUAACUCUAUUCCUACUAAAAACCCUAAGAGAAAAAACUCUUAUUCCUACUAUUUAUUAGUAUCUUCUCUUUUGUUCAUAGAGAAAUAACAUAAACCUCUUAAGUUUUAUCUUUAUUAAUGAAAUUGAUCGUCUGAAAAAGUAAAAUAGAUAUAAGUGGGGUGAAAUUUUCAGGUGCUGAAAGAAAUAGUGUUGAAGCCCAACUGAAGCCCACGUGAGGCGUCGGAUCGUACUGGUGGAGCCCACACAUCCGAAGGCCAAUAGCACCCCCACGAGUGCGAGGGUAUUUCCAUCUUUUUCCGUGUGGCGUGCUUCCCGCUCUCUCCCAAACGGCACCUGCAGGUUGGGAACUCGUGGCUGUCCAAUCGGGGUCUUCUCCGUCGUAGUGGAUAAUCAGCAUGAUCAUUCCGGCAGGGGUUACGGUCCAUGUGUCUCCUUGUUGUUGGUAUGAUCAAACGAAGCGUCGCAACGAGGGGUGUAACCACCCGUUCGUGUCGUUUAGGGCCUUUCAAAAUUGACCCCCCGGUCUUUAUAAACCUAUCGUUAUAAGAAUCCCCCUUUUCGCACUUUUGUUCUUUUGGUGAUUACAUAUUUGCGGUAAUCGUACCGAAUGUUUUAUUUAAUACACCAAGUAAAUCGAUAUGAAUCCGAAGGAGCAAUGGCCAUGCAGUGCACAAAGGGUGGUUACUGUUUAGAAAAUCAUGAGUGUUGAGAGGAAGAACCUUUGUCCCUGUAGAGGGUUUGGUUUUGUCGAGCAUCCCUAGGUGAUUCAGUUCAGUAAGGAUGUGAUGCAGCUCAUCAUAAGGAAUUUUCAGAUAAGAGACACUCAUACUGCAGAUCACUAAAGGGAAGGAGGUAGUGUUUACUGAAGACGAUGUUGCACGCAUAUACAAUCUUGGUCGUGGUCUGAUAUCGGUUUCUGACUACAUGCAGAAAGAGUUGUUAAAUAUAAGAUUCUGGGCAAGCGUGUUGAAGUUGCCUUGCAACAGUAGAUCGAAUAUAAAGUUAUCUGAUGUGGAAGUGAGGUUGACAACGAACGUUGGUUUCAGCUAUUCGUUAUGUUGGUUGUUGGCUAUAUGUUUGUGCCACAUGCGGGUUUAAAUAUGAUUGGAAACUACCUUGGCAUUUUUUUCCGUAAAGAUGCACCUGUUUUUGAGGAUUUGAACUGGUGUGAACACUUGUUGCAAGUCAUCAAUGUGGCAGAGAUCAGUUUGAAAGCUUAUGCGGAGGUGGAUCUCAACAUGUUAUUGGUACGUGCGUUCUUGUUAUAUACGUUCGUUACCGACAGUAUUUUUCAUUACGUACGUAAUUAUAAUCAGGAUGAUAAGCUUAACUAAAGGUUUGUGUUGUCAAAUUUUCAUGUUGGACUGUGUGCCGGUGAUCGUGUUCCACAACCAAGGAAAAUUGUUCGAUACUGGAGCAGUGUUCUACUGAAGUGUCAAUUGAGUGAGUGUGAUGCAAUUGGUGAUAUCCAGAAUGGGUUUAUUAUCGAUUAGGAUCCAAAGAAUGACAAUGGAUUUUUGUUUGUGAGUAGAGAAAUGAGUGAUGGUGAAGUAUCAAGAGAAGAAGGGGCUUUACCGCCUUUAAAACGAGGUAAUAGAUACGUUCCAUCGUCUGUUAGUGCUAGAGGAUGUCGCCCACCGCUGGUGGGUGUGAAGAUUAAAAAAGGGGCAACACCAAUCGUGAAGCCAACAAACGUCAUAGUAAGGAGCAAGACAAGUGAACUCGACAAGCCUGCAACAAGUAAGGGAUGUAGUCAGGAAGCACUACAAGAACAUGCUGCUCUAACAACACAUAACUAAAAGCAGACAUGCAUCCGCUGUUAAACCUAUUAUUUAACAGCGAAUUUAUUUUGAACUAAUGGCGGUUAAGGACCACUGUUAAAAUAAUGUUUAACAACGGGUAUUAUCCGCUCUUAGGUUCUUUCGCAUUAAAAAUAAUGUUCAAAACCGCCGUUAAAAACACUCGAUGUCAGACCAGCUGGCCCUUUCUCAUGCAUUUUCUUCCUUCUCCUCUGCGUUUUCUUCUUCCUCCGCCAUCUUCAUUGCCGACGUUGCCACUCGCCGAUCGCCAUCCGCCAUCUCGAUCGCCGGUCAUUGGUCUUCGGUGGUGGGUGCUCCGCCAUUAAACUCACAUGUGGAUUCCCCAAUCAAUCAAGAGUUAGGGUUCUUAGAAAUGUUGGGGUUAUUAUUUUUAGGGUUCUUAGAAUUGCUAAUGAGUGAUAAUUAUGCAUUGUGUUGGAGUUAUUCUAAAGAAAUCGAGCACACAUCAACUUAUAUUGCAUCGGGUGGAUCUAAUUCGAGGUUGGUAUAUGUUGAUAUUUUGGGUUUUGUGUUCUAUGUUCGAUUUUCUUCUACUUAGAGGUUGGGGGUCAUCGAGUCAUCAAACGACAGUGGAGGGUAGUGCUUCAAACCCAACUGUAGACAAUGAUUCUGAUCAAGGUAGUCACGUAGAAGUGAUGCAUGAUCUGUUGCAUGUUGCAUUUGGUGUUGUUAGACAAGAAGGUGCAGAAGUAGAGGAUGUUGUGGGUAGUGAAUCCGGAUCAAAUACCACACUAGUGGAUACAGAACAUGCCGAGUUCGUCCGUCUGAUGAAAGAUGGAGAACAGAAGCUAUACCCUAGGUGCNNNNNNNNNNNNNNNNNNNNNNNNNNNNNNNNNNNNNNNNNNNNNNNNNNNNNNNNNNNNNNNNNNNNNNNNNNNNNNNNNNNNNNNNNNNNNNUUAACAGCGGAUACGAAACCGCCGUUAGAAUUCCUUGUUAAGUCAUUUAACAACGGCUAAUCCAUUGUUAAAUUAGAAAAAACCCAUCGUUAAAUAGGUGAAUUCUUGUAGUGAAGGUUUCAUUGGUACUGGUUUGCCACUUACAAGGUUGGCAAUCGAACACCUUAGUGCUUACGAGGUGCAUUUUGUUAUUUUGUUUUGGAUGUUUGUAUUUAUUAAAAUUUGAGUAUAUUGAAACGUUUGUACUAUUUCUACAGGCUGAGGAGAUGUGGUUUGAAAACUACAUACAUUUUAUGAAUAUUCAUAUACGUGCAUUGUAAUGUCUGAAGGAGCAAUGUGACGACCAAACCUGAAUCUUUAGAUAAGUGCAUUGUAAGAUUCUGUUCAGAAUUCAAGCAAGGUUUUAAGGAAGAAGGAGAGGAAGAGACAUAGAUUGAUUUUGGAGGAAGAGGAAGAAUUGAACCCAGUAGUUCAAAUAAGGGCUUGGAGGUGGAUGUGGGGAAACCGUUGGUCGCUCGUAAUUUAAUUCAGGCUUUUGGAGACUUUAGUACUAUUGCUGACAUUGGACUAAGUGCAAAUGAUCUUUGCACCAAGUGAUGAUCCUUCGAACGAAGGUCACACAGAUCAAAGCCUGAAAGCUGUUGAUCAGGUAAUGGUUUGUUCUUUUUAUUUCCUUAUUCGUUAAACCCGAUGUGACAUUUGUGUUAUUUAAUGUACAUUAGACUUCUUUAUAGUCACAAUCGGAGAAGUCUACAGAUAAGAAAUCUAACGAGGGGGAUGAAGAUGAAACCAGCCAGGAUGUCGCCUUAAUUUCUGUGAAUGUUGGUCGUUUGGAAAGCGGGGAAGGGAAAGCGGAUGAGGAGGAGGUGGUUAUUAUAAGUCAAUCAGGGAUAGCUGAUCCUGAUGAUACUACCAACAAGAGGAAAUGUGUAAGUAUUUCCUACAAUCCCCUUAACUUUCAUGUUUGUUUGUUAUGAUUGUUGGAUACAGUAGCUCUUGUGUUUCACAUUGACGGUCUCUAACCCAACAUUCGUGUCAUAAAAGGUAUCUGCGUUGUUGACGGGUAGUUUCUUACGGUCUAGCUAUAAGAGGACCAAACACGAGUGUAGUUCUUUGAAAUCUCAUGUUACCCGGUUACAGAAGAAGAAUGAAUCGUCUGAACAGAGGAGGAAAAGACUGGGUGCAAAGAAGAAGAAACAAGGUGAAGUAUUGGAGGGAAAUAACAAGGAUGAGGACCAAGUUAACGAAUGUGAAGCUGGAGUGUUAGUAGACAAUGCUAAGGAGGACCAUAUCGAAAAGAAUGAACUUGAGGUUCAAGGGAGUGUUUUUCCGAACAUUCCUGUCGUUUAUGCUGGAGCUUGCACCCAGGAGUUUGUUAAAAAAGUUGAAGCACUGGAGUUUACUAACGAUGUUAGUGAUGCACCAAAUGCAACUUCCGUUCUGUGUUACCUAUGGAGCUCAGAGUUGCCCUAGUACGUAUUGUAUUUUUUGUGUUUAAUUUUACUUUUCUAAUGUUCAGUUUUAUAUUUUAAUUAUAUUUAUUACAGGAAAGAAUUUCUAUAUCAAUUGCACAAUAGGGAGUUCAAGUUAAGCAAGGAGGAUUUCAGGAGGUGUUGUCCUGAAGGCAAGGUGUCAAAUUUUUUGAUUGAUGCCUUUAAGAAUAUGCUUGUACGUUCAAUGGAAACUGUGGACCGGAAAAUAGAUCUUUGGUUUUUCCCUACAAAAGUUGCGGUAUGUAGUAUGAGUUACAAGAACAUACGUCUUUCAAGUCUUACAUUUACGUUUGUUUCAUUUCAUGUUUGUUAUUUUAAUUAUUUUGGUAGUCACUUUGUGGAAGCGGCUGGGAUAGUUGCACCAUUGAAUAUGUUAUUGACAACCUGUUCGCUAAGCAAUGGACUAGUAACCUCGACUAGACGAGAUGCAACUUCAUGAGUGGUUUCUUUAUGUGCUUUUUUUGUUUUGCCUUUCGUGGAUGAUUGCUAACCUAAGCUAAGUUCAUAUGUGAAUCUAUUAUUGUAGUGGUUUUUCUCUUAUUGUGAGGAUGAUCAUUGGGUAUCAUAUUGUAUCAACUUGGAGCAUAAAAGGUUUGAAUAUCAAGAUAGUCUUGAUAUGGAUAUGCCUCCCCCCCUCAAAUUUCAGCAGGUUGCAGGAUUUGCAUCUCAAGUUAUCCCUAUGGUGCGAUAUGAGCUUCUGAAUACUUCAAGGAUUUUUGAUGGCACUGUGCUAGAGGGUUGAAGCAGCUAGAUAACCUAUCUUGUGGCAUCUUUGCACUUCAUUUUCUUCAGUGUUGGUGCUGUGAAAUUGAAGAGUGGAUGAAUGCAAGUUGGCCGCAACCAGAGACCAUUGAAUUUCGAAGAUCAGAGAUAUGUGAUGAACGGAUGUUACUCAUUCUCAAAAUAAACCGGUUAAUGAAUUAACCGAGUCGAAUUUCCCUAGGGUCUCCUUAAGAAUCUUACUCAAAAUGGUAAUUAGUACUAAUCGAAAUAUCAAUGAAUGUGGUUUAGGUGCCACGAGAACCAAUCAAUCAAAAAAAUGAAAAUACUUAAAAGUAACUGGGUUGCAAGACUUCACGAUAUAAGGUUGACAAUCAAAGAUGAAUUGCUUAGAUGUCACCCCCUAGGAAAUUCUAAUUCACAAAUGACAAACAAAUUCCACGAUUUAAACAAAACAGGAUAGAUGCAUUACAUUGUCGCAAUUAUUCUCUAAUCAAAUCACGCUCUUUUGGGUGUGCUAAUUUGCUACCUAUCUAGUAUUCUAGUCCGCACAUUCGAGACAAAGAUCUAAAACCCGUUAGGAGAUUUAUCGAUUUAGAAUUGGUCACACGACAAACUAGUUCAUUCGCUUCCGGAUGAGGGUUAAUGUCUAACCUAGUUAUUUGAUUUUGCCGUUCUAGAUAUACAAGCUCUCUCGAGUCUAAGACAAAUCUAACAGAGAUUAAAUUUAAGUUGAUCAGGCAAGAACAAAUCAAAAACGAAAUCAAAUAAGCAAUAAAAUCCAUCCAACUCGGAUAAAUCAUCAAACGUAUCAAAUCAUUCGUUCAUAGGAAUUAACCUAGGGUUCAUCUAAUCCAAGCAAGAGAAGUUUAGCCGCUAAUAAUCACGAUAGAAAAAUCAAAACCAGAAGAGGAUGCAAUUGAUUUUAGGUUUACAUAAAGAAUUAUGAAAACCCUAAUUUUGCCGAUCUUCUCGAGAACUUGAUUCGCCGUAUUGAUUAUUUUUCCGAUCCCGAACUCCUUGAAGUCACUUUCUUGUUGCUCUCAAAUCUCUGAAUUUCUCUCUAAAUUUUGUCUAAAGAAAGUCCCCUUCGAAUGAGGGACGACCGGGCUUUAAAUAGAAGUUCCCAAAAAUCAAAUUUUCUGGAAUGUCAACUUUGCCGCUAUGGUUGGUCAAUCUUGNNNNNNNNNNNNNNNNNNNGCUAUGCGCAUAGCGGCUAGAUUGACACAUCCAUAACGGCAAUCUUGACUUGUUUCCAGAGAGAGUUGUCAAGUUUGCCGCUAUGAAAUGUCAAUCUUGCUGCUAUGCACAUAGCGGCAAUAUUGACAGAUCCAUAGUGGCAAUUUUGACAUAACUUCCUUACAGAAUUUGUAGGAUAUUGAACGAGCUUUCUAACGCCGUCAGCCUCGCAUCAAUCGGACUUCUGAGCUAGGAUAUAUGUCCAAAAUACGAAACUGCGACUUUUCCCGAUCAAGUCAUGAUCCAAGCUCCUUGAAGAUGACAAAAUGCUUAUAAUUCCCUGUCCUAGGCGAUCCAUACACAUGGUAUCGCCUCAAUUAAUGCCUCGAUGUGAUUAUGUACCUUAAAUCUAUCAAAAACACUCCAAAACGACAUCAAAUGCACCACAACUGGGUCUGAGAUAUUAAAUCGAGAUAAAAGGUUAAAAUGCAUAAAACAUCCUAAACUUCUACCUAACGUAAUACAACUAUGCAUGAAAUUUCGCGUAAAUGAGGACGAUGAACACGACAAAUCGAGUGUCAUCUAUAUGCCUUCGUUUGUUGUUUUCCAGGGGGGAAUAUGUUAAGUGAUUUGGUGAUAUCCAAGGUUGUCAAAGACUACCCUAGAGGAUGAUUGAUUGUGGUGGUGGCUUUUGUGUUGCGGUGGCUUUUGGGUUUGCUACGUUCUGUUGAGGCAGACGUAUGUUCGAGACAAUGCUACUAUUAUGUUCUAAGAUGAUUAUGUCAUUUUUUAACAUUAUGUAUCUUAAUGUGACUUAUAUUUUCUAAGACGAUUAUGCUAUUUAUCUGUUAUGCUUCAGCCGGCUAUGUUGUUAUUUAUCUUAGAUCACACUUCGUAUAAUUUAAGGCAAAAUGUAGAACAAAAUAUAUUUUGUUCAAGACUAUUGGUGUGCUUAGAAUAAAAGAUAAGUUGUUAAGAACACAAAUGUUUCCAUAUUGAAGAUUUCUAUUUUAAAAACACAGAUGUUUCAAGAUUGAAGAUGAGAUGUUAAGGAACUGGCCAUAUAUAUUAAUGCAGGCCCAUGCAAAUUGAACUUCAACCCUAAUCGCCGGCGUUACUUCUCUCUUUUACGUUCUCCCUCGCGCUUCUCCUUCCUCUCUCUUCUCUAUCUUUGAUCUAAGUUCUGGGUUUUUUUAAAUAUGAGAGGAUUCUCGAGUAAUUCUGCUUCUUCCACCAGAUCCGAGUCCGUUGUGGUUUGCAAGUAUGUGGAAUCUGCGAUUAUGAAUGUUUCUACAACUAGGUGCAACCCUAGGAGAGAGUUUUACAGAUGCUGGUACUGGAAGGAGAAAGGCAGAGCAAUUUUUUCAAGUGGGUGGAUGAAUUUUCUUCCGUUGCCGGAUCACAACUGUCGGUUGUUGUGGAAGAUUUGAAAUCCAUGUUGUUGGAUUGUGAACAGAGGCUGAGUGCGUUGCAGGAUAAAGCUUUAAGAAGGAAUGGUGAAAUAAAUCGGUUCAAAACUCGUAUUGAUGAAAGCAAUUCCAUUUUGGGUGAGAUUCAUGAGAUUAAGUUAUGUUUAUGUGCAAUAGAAAUAGGGUUUCAAUGUUUGAUAAUUGUUGCAUUCGUGCCCAUGCGGAUUGUAUCUUUCUUUAAGUAAUAGUUGUUAACCUUGACUUAUGUGCAAAUCAAGUGGCAUAUCUAGUAACAUGCUUUAGCAUUAGAUGAUAAAUAGAUAACACGUGUCCUGGAAAUAACAAAACAUACAUGUUUUUAAACAGAACGUUUCAGUUCUUGAACAAAACAAAAUGAUAAACUUAACGUACUCUCUAAAAGAAAGUUUUCAUUUGUAACGAGUGCCAAGAAAUAUUUGUACACUCUAUAAUGAGUUAGGAAAGGCCAUGAAAUAUUUGGCAACAUGUUACAAAGAAGGGAAUCUUCUCUCUUCCGUGUUGACAAUAUACCUGCAUUUGCUAAAGUAGUUCUAAUCGCCGAAAUAACCUCACAGUUAAUUCGACAACACAAGUGUCGUAUGUGUCCAAAGGUUCCUCCGUUAUGCUUCUACUCAAACUCGUCAAUACAAUUUAGACUGAAACAAUUGGUUUUGGGUUUUAACUACUCUAAUGAUUAAAUUAAACUAACAAUUCAAGGGUUGAUUCAAAGGGAGAAAGCGAGUUUUUGGAAGAGAUGAGUCAUCAAGCUCAACUUCCUAAACGCAUUCGAAACGAAUAAAUAUUGGGCUUGGAUUGAAUUAAAUGAAUCAUCCUAUCACUUGUAUGAAUCUGUGGCACGAUCAUGCACACGGAUUCCCUUUACUGGCUUCCUAACUAAGGAAAAAAUACCCGUAAUCAGACUAGCCGUUUAAAACUGGAAGAAACACAAAAGGUAGAAUCGGGUUAUCGCCUUACCCCACUGAUAACUUUCAUCUAUCCUUGAUUGCUAAUCUUACAAAUUCUUAAGUUUAUCAAACAAAGAAUUUCAUAAAUUUGACCUAAUUCAAGCUGUAACAAAAAUUAGGUUGAAAACACAACAAUCAAAACAAUCUUUCAUUCACAUCCAAAUAUCCACAAUCCUCGUUUCUAAACAUUCAAGACAGGUAUCAUGGCUCAAAUCCUACAUCUCAACCAAGAAUCUCUACAGAUUUAGCUACUCAUAAUUCUAGAAGGAGUCAAAUCAAAAGAAAUCCUAACCAUCAUCUUAUCGAAGAGAUAACGGCUUUUUCUUCCUCCCAACGUCGCUUUUUCUUUUUUUUGUUUUAUCGUCGAUUUGGGUCUUCUAGCUUCAAUCCUAGCUUCAAUAUUUGUUAGGAACUCUUUUGGAUAUUUAAUUGAGCUUCUAGGAGAGGUUUUAUGCUGGGUUUUGCAGAGGAAUGUCGGGGGAAAUCGAGGAAAAAUGAGGUUGGAGAUUGGUUUUCUCUUUCCUCAAAAUCUGCCCUUUUAUAGGAACUGCUGAAACUAGGGGGUGCACGUCGUGCACCUCUUUUUUCCAAAAUUUUGCAUAGUUUAAUGGCAGGAACGGCGUGUAGGUGUGCACGUCGUUCCUCUGUUUUAGGGCUGAGAUUUUGAACAUGUUCUAGGGCUGCACGGUGUGCAGUCCCUCGGCUUCUCUAUUCCCUUUCUCGAUCUUCCGUUCGAGCUCCAAUCGUGCUAUACUUUACGUCCUUGGCUUCAUAACCAGACCGCCUAUCUCCAAAGUACCGGUAGGUGACAAAUAGUACAAAGAACACAUUAAAUGGAACGAAACCGUCCAAAUGAACAUAUCUAAACAGGUGAUGCCAAAACACGAAAUCAUAUAGGAAUGAAUCUCGAACCAUCUAAUAAUCACUCAAAAGCAUGCAUAAAAGGGUAGAUAAUUGCUACAAAUUCUAGUCUUAUCAAGUUCAGAGGUGUAGGUCAGUGCCUCCUAGACCAUAAAUCCUUGGUUCUUCCUUCUUUUAUUUUCUGUUGGCUUGGAUGAACCUCUCACGGUCUGGACGAGGCCUUUUCCUUGGUUUGUAUGUCUCUGUCCUUUUCUUGACUUGUUUUGGGGACGUUCUCACAUUUGUUUCCACGUUGAGUGAGUUUUUUGGUGUUGUGUUUCUGGGUUUUUUUAUGAAACUUGCUUUUGCAAGGCGAGUAGGGUCUGUAUCAUCAAGUAUGUCCAUAAUUCAUAACCAUUAACCUGAUUGUACUAAUAUUGGUUACGCCUGUAUCAUCACAUAAAAUGGAAUCAUCUUUAUAGUUAUGUACGUACCAACUCUCGUAGAUUCGCCAUCAAUACAUUCAUCUCUUCGUACUUAGCAAUAUUUGUGUGUGCCACCUCAACAAUCGAUGCCCCCAACUCCAAUCCCUCAUUUUCAUUUCAUGUAUACCUAUGCAAGCAAUGAACGAAUACAAUGUAAUGAAUGUGCCGGAUAAGGUAACUAACUAUAAGGACGUCACGAAAUAGCUAACCUUCGUAGUAUUAGAUCUUGCGGGAUAGUAGGAAGUGCGGCUCUCCAUUGUGUCCCAGCAACUCCGAAACUCUAAUAAGAUGCCUACAAAUAAGCCCUUCCAUCUCAUACAUACCGCAAGUGCACUUCAUUCUGAGUCCAUUCGCACUUACAAACACAAUCCGAUCAUCUGUUUUGGUGUCAUCCAUUUCUAUCUUGAACACAUUGAAUGCUCUGAUUGAUUCAUUUGAUUGAUGGAUACGUGCCAUUCCAUAUGAUAAUGUAGGAGCGUAUUCUUGCAUCCACUUCUUGAAUACCUUUGGUGUGUACACUAGGGCUAGUUGUUUUGUUAAUGACUGUCUUUGAAUCUAUUUAGGGGGACAGUAGUAUGCAUCUUGAAAUCCAUUUCAACUUUGCCUCUCUCUUGUUUUCCACCAGUUGGAUGAAUUGAAAGAAGAGGUCAGCGAUAUUGAGACUUGGUUUCAGGCGUUCCUUCAAGGUACUAUUACAAGCCUCACUUAGUUGGAAACUUCGCAUGCCGCAAGUAAAGUGAUAACGCUGCCACGCCUCAGACCAUUGAGCUCUCAUUAUGUAUAUUUGUGUCAGCCACGGAUGUCCUUCUUCCCCUGCCCUUGAAACAAACAUGUUUCAUCCUUUGUCAGUUUUUUUCAAAUUCGUUUUCGUCAUCUACUCCAAACAUCAGAUAGUUUAGCUUGUUCACAAACUCACUACUGCUCAAUGAGCCUAAAUUCCUUGUAGCAUUGUUCAUUGUAUGGUACGUACACAAUCCAUGAUACGUUGCUGGCAUUGGAAGUUGCGAUCUAAUGCCUGAUGCAAUCGUUUCUUGGUAAGUCAAGAUGCUUUUUGGAAUUUUUCCUCCCAUACAUUUUUUGAAAGUUUGGAACAACCACUCGAAUGUGGAUGUUUUCUCGUCAAACAAGAGAGCUGUGCAAAAAAUAACGAGCUCAUAGUGAUGAUUGUACCCCACAAAGAUGGUUGCAUAAAACAAACCACUCAUCUGUAUUGUUAUCCAGAACGCAUGUAAGGAAGAAAUGAUAAAUGAAACGUACGUGCCAUUAGGAAAUGUAAACAAAACUUCCGUGUUAUUGCAAUAUUGAAUACGAAUGUAGUGACAAAUGCAAUAAAUAGUUUAAGAAUCUCACCGAGCGAUCUGUAAUCGUUAUUGGUCCCAUAUGUAGUGUCGAAACUGAUUGACUCGACAAAUACUGAAUACUCAGCUCUGAUUCUGCCAUCUGACUAGAAUACAUUAAGGAUUUCCCUAUUUUCAUCUCCGAGCAUUUCAUAGAAGAAUUGUUUGUCACAAUUAGCCCUUUCUUUAAAAUGUGUAUGCAUCAUGGAAUCUUCUUCCCGUUUCAGCAGACUGAGAUAGGGGGGCCAUAGGUGGUUCCUUAGAUCUUUCACUGUAAACCUGACAUGUGCUGCUCCUCUUGCUGUUUGUCGCAUUAUAUUAAACGAUUUUUGCAGCAGGACUCCAACAAACUUAUGAAUUUUGGCAAGCCUGGAGUUUGUAUUGUUUAUGCUUCUCCUCGAGCCGUGAAGAUGGUUGUACUUACCUAGAACCAUCACAUGAUUGUGUUUGUCUACCCAUUCUCUUAUAAAGAACUUCUUGAUGUCACUAUCCCAAUGCAUUUUUAUAUUUGUUUCACAACCAAUUCUUUCCUCUGGUCGUUCUCUUUUACGCCGAGUUUGAUCGAGUGCUCCAUUGUUCUUCUUAUUCAGUUCUCUUUUUGGUCGGAAUCCCUCUCUGGAACAAACGUAGCAUAGAUAAUAACACCGUAGUUCUCCAUCUGAGGCUAAGACUUGGUGUCUUUUGUUUUGCAAAUUUUUGGUCUGUUGGUAACAAAUUCUUGUGUGGAACCCUUUUGAUUACAUGCUUGGUAGUAGUUGUAGGCUUCUCACUUCGUAUCAAACAAAGGACCUCUAUGACCUCUAGCUGUCACAAAUUACAUGAACAUCAAUAUUUUGGAUACAUAACGAGGAAAAUUAGCUUAACAAACAAACAAAUUGAACCCACGUCAUGAAACGUUUUGUUCAUCACGACGGAAUAUCACAAACAUACGAACGUAUAAUUCACAACGGAAUGUCACGUACAUACGAACAUCUGAUUAUGGGCUGAGAUUCACGGAAGGAAAAUUUUUACUAACACAAGUGACAAACAUAAAAAAAUCCAAUGAGCUUUUGAAAAUCACGAACAUUUUUGUAAUGUCUGUCAAUGUCACGAAAGGAUAAUGAUCAUGCCAAAUGAAACGAACAGACGUGUCCAUGACGAACGUUAAUUUAACGAACAGAAUAUCACGAACAUACGAAUGUGUGAACGGACUGAAGGUCACGAGCAUACGAACGUAUGAAUAUGGUCUAACCGUCACGAAAGGAUAAUUGUUCUUUACGCAAGCAACGGACGUAAAGCUAAAGCUGACGAGUACGAACGUGUAAGUGAAUUCUGAUUCACACGAAAAAAUAAUGAUGAUACCGAAUGGAAUGAAUGGAUAUGUUCAUGACGAACGUUAAUCUAACGUGUUACGAACAUACGUACGUGUGAUUACAGAGCGAAUGUCACGCAUAGAACGGGCGUAAAGGUAAAGUUAAUGAGCUGUGUAAGUGAAGUAUGAGUGAUACGAAAGGAUAAUGAUGAUGUCGAAUGGAACGAAAGGACGUGUUCAUGGCGAACGUUAAUCUCACGUGUCACGAACAUACGAAUGUGAUUACAAUGCGAAUGUCAUGCAUGCAACGAACGUAAAGCUAAAGCCAACGAGCUGUUAAAAACCACGAAGUGUAAGUAAAGCAUGAAUGACACGAAAUGAUAAUAAUAGCACCGUUGAUCAUUAUGCAAGUUCACGAAAGUGUGAUGAAGCCAACGAACCCUACACUAAUUAUCAUUUCGUGUGCUCGAAUGGCAACGACGACAUCGAAUGGUUAAUGAACAUUAGGAAUGAUACAACACAAUACAUUGAGUCUUUAACUACAGCUCGUUAAAGCAGAAAACAUGUCAUAUAGGCAUCGGAAGG
rnacentral:lncRNA from 1 species